AUUGAACGCUGGCGGCAGGCCUAACACAUGCAAGUCGAGCGGAUGAAGGGAGCUUGCUCCUGGAUUCAGCGGCGGACGGGUGAGUAAUGCCUAGGAAUCUGCCUGGUAGUGGGGGAUAACGUCCGGAAACGGGCGCUAAUACCGCAUACGUCCUGAGGGAGAAAGUGGGGGAUCUUCGGACCUCACGCUAUCAGAUGAGCCUAGGUCGGAUUAGCUAGUUGGUGGGGUAAAGGCCUACCAAGGCGACGAUCCGUAACUGGUCUGAGAGGAUGAUUAGUCACACUGGAACUGAGACACGGUCCAGACUCCUACGGGAGGCAGCAGUGGGGAAUAUUGGACAAUGGGCGAAAGCCUGAUCCAGCCAUGCCGCGUGUGUGAAGAAGGUCUUCGGAUUGUAAAGCACUUUAAGUUGGGAGGAAGGGCAGUAAGUUAAUACCUCGCUGUUUUGACGUUACCAACAGAAUAAGCACCGGCUAACUUCGUG
rnacentral:rRNA from 1 species